rnacentral:misc_RNA from 1 species
GAUGAAGAACGUAGCGAAAUGCGAUAAGUAAUGUGAAUUGCAGAAUUCAGUGAAUCAUCGAAUCUUUGAACGCACCUUGCACCCUUUGGCAUUCCGAAGGGUAUGCUCGUUUGAGUGUCAUUGUACUCUCACACUCUCCGAUCCUAUGGAUUCGGGGAGCGGUGGACUUGGGUGUUGCUGCCUUUCCCUGUGGCUCACCUCAAAUGCGUCAGUGCACCUCUUGGUUGGACAUAGUACGGCGUGAUAAGUGUAUUCGCCGGCACCUCGCAAGAGGGUGGCCGAUCGGGAGCUCUGCGCUUUCAAACCGUCUUCGGACAAUUUCUGACAUCUUGACCUCAAAUCGAGUAGGACUACCCGCUGAACUUAAGCAUAUCAAUAAGCGGAGGA